ACAAGUUUAGAGCCUGGCACAGCAUCCUCAUGGAAUCAUGCCUAGCUGGACAGUAAAUGCCUCUGCUGCCUGCAGUCGGGGGCACCUAAAUGUCCAGGCUGAACUGGGUCCAAGGUUUGCUGACUAAGUAGGUUUCAAGUCUUGUGCUCAUUCCUCUUCCUCCUCCCUUUCUUUCCCAGCAUCCUGCGGCUCACUUCUGCUUCUGUCCACUGGGGAAAGCAUCUUCCAGGUGCUAAUAAGAAAAAUACUCAGACCAUAGUGUGAGGGGAAAAGGCAACUCAGGCAGAAUCACUGCUGAGAACCUAGGCAGGCUUAGGCAGUGUGAUCUGAAGAGCUGAAGUGUGCAGCCCACAGAGAGAAGGAAUUGGGUAGAAUGCAAAAUUGAAGAGGAUGUGCAUAAGACAAAAAUCUUCCUGACAGAGAUGAAUUAGUUAUGGGACUGACUCCCCAAGCCGGUUCUCUGGGCAGGAGAGGAAAUUUCUAAACCAGUUUGGACCCAAGGCCCUCCAAGGAAUUUAAGCAAAGAAUGAUGGGGACUGCCACGUCUUACUUACUAGAGCACACAGCAUCUUGUUGUGUCCUAUGAGCCCUGCCCCCCAUGUAUCUGGCCCACAUAAACUUCAAGCUCAUUCAUCACUUUUGGAAGCCGAUAUCAAUGCCACCCUGAUAUCAAUGCCAUCCUCUUCAGUCACCUCUCUGCUUGGUUCUGCAGAAACUCCGUUUUCUAACACUUUCUGUAAGGCAGAAGAAUCAGGAACUGUUCCAAGCCACAAAGACAUGGUAGGAUUUACCAUGUGAUUUUAGGUCAUCACUGCCUGCCUUUCUGCCUGCUUGUGAUCUCUCUAUGUCAAA
rnacentral:lncRNA from 1 species